rnacentral:miRNA from 1 species
AAAUGCGUAGCCUGCGAAUACAGACGCCUCACAUCGGGCGAAAUGUUUACAUUUCGCCCGAUGUGAGGCGUCUGUAUUCGCAGGCUAC